AGCGAACGCUGGCGGCGUGCCUAACACAUGCAAGUCGAACGUGAAAAGGGAAACCUGAGUAAAGUGGCGUACGGGUGAGUAACGCGUAGGUAAUCUACCCCAGAAUCUGGAAUAACCUGCCGAAAGGCGGGCUAAUACUGGAUAGAGCGAGGGAACUCGUAAGAGAGUUUUUCGGGAUAGGGAGCCCGCAAGGGCCUUCGUUCUGGGAUGAGCCUGCGUCUCAUUAGCUAGUUGGUAAGGUAACGGCUUACCAAGGCGAUGAUGAGUAGCUGGUCUGAGAGGAUGAUCAGCCACACUGGAACUGAAACACGGUCCAGACUCCUACGGGAGGCAGCAGUGGGGAACCUUGCGCAAUGGACGAAAGUCUGACGCAGCCACGCCGCGUGAGUGAAGAAGGCCUUCGGGUUGUAAAGCUCUGUCGGAUGGGACGAACAUCUUCAUAGUGAAUAGCUAUGAGGACUGACGGUACCAUCAAAGGAAGCACCGGCUAACUCCGUG
rnacentral:rRNA from 1 species